rnacentral:rRNA from 1 species
GUUAGUGGCGGACGGGUGAGUAACGCGUGGGUGACCUGCCCAUAAGUGGGGAAUAACAGUUGGAAACGACUGCUAAUACCGCAUAAGCUGAGCAAUCAGUAAAGGAGGCUUAACAGCUUCCGCUUAUGGAUGGGCCCGCGUCUGAUUAGCUAGUUGGUGGGAUAAAAGCCUACCAAGGCCACGAUCAGUAGCCGGCCUGAGAGGGUGGACGGCCACACUGGGACUGAGACACGGCCCAGACUCCUACGGGAGGCAGCAGUGGGGAAUAUUGCGCAAUGGGGGAAACCCUGACGCAGCGACGCCGCGUGAGCGAAGAAGGCCUUAGGGUCGUAAAGCUCUGUUUUAAGGGACGAAAAUUCGCAGGAGUAACUGCCUGUGAAGUGACGGUACCUUAAGAGAAAGCCCCGGCUAACUACGUGCCCGCAGCCGCGGUAAGACGUAGGGGGCGAGCGUUGUCCCGAAUUACUGGGCGUAAAGAGCACGUAGGCGGGAUAACAAGUCAGGUGUGAAAGACCGUGGCUCAACCACGGGGUUGCAUUUGAAACUGUAAUUCUUGAGGGCAGGAGAGGAAAGUGGAAUUCCUGGUGUAGCGGUGAAAUGCGUAGAAAUCAGGAGGAACACCGGUGGCGAAGGCGACUUUCUGGACUGACCCUGACGCUGAGGUGCGAAAGCGUGGGUAGCAAACAGGAUUAGAUACCCUGGUAGUCCACGCUGUAAACGAUGGAUACUAGGUGUGGGAGGUAUCGACCCCUUCCGUGCCGCAGCAAAACGCAAAAAUUAUCCCGCGUGGCGAGUACGGUGGCAAGGCUGAAACUCAAAGGAAUUGGGGGGGGCCCGCCCAAGCGGCGGAGCAUGUGGUUUAAUUCGAAGCAACGAGAAGAACCUUACCUAGACUUGUCAUCUCUUGCUUUUCUCUUAAUCGAGGAAGUCUCUUGGCAGACAGGAUGACAGGCGGUGCAUGGUUGUCGUCAGCUUGUGUCGUGAGAUGUUGGGGUAAGUCCCGCAACGCGCGCCACCCUUAUAGUUAGCUUCCAUCAUUAAGUCGGGCACUCGCGACCGCCCGCCCGGGUUAGCCGGGAGGAAGGCGGGGAUGACGUCUAAUCAUCAUGCCCCUUACGUCCUAGGGCAGACACAGGUGCUACGAGGGGCGGUACAAUAAGACACAAGCCCAUGGGGGGGAGCAAAACAGGAAAACUGAUCUCAGUUCGGAUUGUAGGCUGAAACUCGCCUACAGGAAGGCGGAGUUGCUAGUAAUCGGGAAUCAGCAUGUCGCGGGGAAGCCGUUCCCGGGCCUCGUACUCACCGCCCGUCA